UGGAGCUGCAUACAUGUUCUACUCU
rnacentral:piRNA from 1 species